GAUGUACAGCUUCAGGAGUCAGGACCUGCCCUGGUGAAGCCUUCUCAGACAGUGUCCCUCACCUGCACUGUCACUGGCUACUCUAUCACUAAUGGUAAUCACUGGUGGAACUGGAUCCGGCAGGUUUCAGGAAGCAAACUGGAGUGGAUAGGGUACAUAAGCUCCAGUGGUAGCACUGACAGCAAUCCAUCUCUCAAAAGUCGAAUCUCCAUCACUAGAGACACUUCCAAGAACCAGUUAUUCCUGCAGUUGAACUCUGUGACUACUGAAGAUAUAGCCACAUAUUACUGUGCAAGAGA